rnacentral:lncRNA from 1 species
AUUUUGCUUUUUAGGGAUGCACCUGUGGCACAUGAAAAUUCCUGGGCUAGGGGUCAAAUGGGAGCUGUAGCUGCCGGCCACAAUAAUACCAGAUCAGGGCCAUGUCUGUGACCUACACCACAGCUCACAGCAACACCAGAUCCUUAACCCACUGAGUGAGGCCAGGGAGCAAACCUGGAUCCUCAUGGAUAUUAGUCGGGUUCUUAACCCACUGAGCCACAAUUGGAACUCCAAAAUAGUGGGGGUUUUGGGGAACUGUUAUUCAUAAUACUUUCCCCACAAUUUUUUUCUAUGAUUUAAUUUUUUACACUUUAGUUGAUUAUUCUAUCAUACUUCUCAGCAAUUAAGACACAUAUAAGAAUUAUUUAAAUUUGUUUCAGUUUCUCAUGACUAUGAGAAAUUAAAUAUUUUUUCUAGACCGAAACUUCACUACAAUGAUUAUGAGUACACAGCUAGGCAAAAAAAAAUGUAAAUAUAUUUUGUUUUGAUUAAUAAUUAUUAAACAUAAGAAGGAAAGUUUUUCUGGAAACCAUUUCUUCAUGAGGUUCCUUGGAAAGCCUUAGAGGCUUGAUUAAAGGAAGUAGCCCAGAUGACACUUUUGUGCUCCUCGGCCAUCUCUUCCUAGUAGAAUGGAAGCCCCAGGAGGAAAAAGUCUUUCCUGUUUUGUUCCCUGCUGCAGCUCAUCAUCUAGAACUGUGCCUGGCACAUAAUAGGCAUUUGAUACGUUGUCAAAGGAAAGUGUCUUUUGUUUGAAUCUCAGAGGCUUUUAUAUGGCAGGCAAUCCACAUUAGUAAGAUUUGGGAUGAGGGCAAAAGAAAGAAAGUGCCCCUAUUUUGUAGAGUGGGAGAAGGAUGCUGGGGAAAGGAGAUAUAGGAGAAGGUAAAUCUCCCAGAGCCCGGAUGAUUCUGAUGGAAGUCAGUUUCAGAAAAUCAUCAGUAGGGAAGUUGAGGACACAGAAUCGAUUCCCUUGACAUUUCAAUGCCCAAGAACUCCCUAUGAAGUUUUCACAUAUCUCCCUUGAUAGGCGAAGAUCUCCGGGCUUCGAAGAGGUCCUGCUAGGAGUUCUCUGGUGGCUCACAGGUUAAGGAUCCGGCAUUGCUGCUGUGGCGCAGGUUGGAUCCCUGGCCCCAGAACUUCCACGUGCCAUGAGUGUCACAAAAAAAAAAAUACGAUAUUGUUUUAAAAGAGAGAAGUGGGUGUGUCAGCAUCAGGAAGAAUAAGGAGAAAAGCUUCUUUGGAUUAGAAUCAUUUAAGGCUAAAAACUUCCCAAUCCUUUAAGGAUCCGGUGUUGCCAUGAGCUGUGGUGUAUGUUGAAGAUGCAGCUCAGAUCUGGCGUUGCUGUGGCUGUGGUGUAGGCUGCCAGCUGUAGCUCCCAUUCGACCCCUAGCCUGGGAACCUCCAUAUGCUGUGGGUGUGGCUCUAAAAAGACAAAAAUAAAAUAAAAAAUAAAAGCUUCCCAAUCCAGGAUCAAUCUAAAAAGUAAUGCUGGAAGAGAAAUGUAUGCAUUAACUAAUUCCACAAAAGAAAACCGAAGAGAGCAAAUGUGUGGAAGGACGUGGUUAUAUCUCAUCUGUCACCAUAUCAAACAUCUAAAAAGCCCCCAUCAGUGAAGAUAGAUUGAGCCAAGGUAGCCAAUCUUCUAGGAACUGUGCUACAAUUUAUCUUUAGUAAACCACAUCUCAGAAGCAAAAAGAAACCUUACGAUGCGCAUUGGGGAAGAAGAAAUGAUCCAAGAGAGAAAACAUGUUCUAUUUCCUGUUUUUCCAUAUUCCAAUUCAGUUUUUUUGAGGUCAAGGUUCACAAUUCAUCAUACAGUGAAGUGCCUCAAAUGAUUUCAGAUUCACUAUUCGGAAGCUAGAAAGAUGAACUGAAUUCAAUGUCUGGUUUUCACGGAGGAUAGAUAAAUCCUGAUCAACAGUUCACAUCAGAUGGUUUAACAGCCCGAGCUGGUCUUGCUUAACCAUCCUCUUCCUUUUCUCUAACCCCCAGACAUCAUCACGACACCCUAACCUACCAAAUCUCAAUGGCUUUUCAAAACUGCGUUAGCUUUUCCUCUCCCCUAACACACACACACACACACGCCUGAGAGCACACACACGUACACAUGCACUCAUGCACGCACACACUCACAGCUUAGGAAGACUGAAAAAAACCGAAGGCGUAUUUUCCAUAGCACUUCAGUUCUUGGUAAUGUGACUUCAAUAUAAAUGUUGACUCACAGGGAAACAGUAGCCAACUGGAAUUGCAGCUUUGAAAAAUGAAAUAAAAAAGCAAGAACUUAUCUGCAGAUACCCGUUCUUUUUCUGUGCUGCUACAAGGGUGUAGCCUCACCAUUGAGAUGGAACACAUCUUUUUGACAGCAUGCAGCAUCAUCAGGAAAUUCUCUAAUUCUAGAAGUUUUCUAAUUAAAGGUGCCAUGUGCACCAAGGAAGGCAAAACCAGGUCCAGCCCCAGAAGGUGUGACAGACACUAAUCCUCUCCGAAAUGCAUGAAGUGAAAAAGACCCCUCCAGCCUCUUCUCCUGCGCGCCUCCAGAAUAAAUGUCAGCACAAUCCAUGUCCUUUGCUGGAGACCUCCUACCCCCAAGCACGGGGUGUGUAACUGAACCUCUAAGCAGAGACAUAUGAUGAUGAUUUUCAACUUUGAUUAGGAGCUUUUGAAGAUAAUUGUCUCUUCCUGUUUCAUCCUCUAGAAAGAUCUCCCCUUCCUUAAUUUGGUCACAAAGUGGUUUUCUUUUAAAAGGACUAUUUUGACUUUCAGAAAACACACAAGAAGCAGCAGAGUAUUCACACACCGCAGAAAAUGGGCCCUCAGCUGCUAAUAAAUUGCAUUGUUCUCUAGUCUCCAACCCUUCUGCCAUCAAAAAAAAAAAAAAAAAAAAAAAAAAAAAAAAA